GUGGGUCUGGCUCCCAAAUCUUCGAUCUUGUGAGAUAUAUUCUCAAGCUCGGUUUUAUGGGUGCCGCAUCCAAC
rfam:Ciona savignyi cont_64472, whole genome shotgun sequence.